rnacentral:lncRNA from 1 species
AUGAAAAUACUAAACAGUGCACGGCCAUCAACAUCAUUUAGCCUACUGAGAAACAGGUACUGGAAGGAAUUCAGAAACUGAAUGUGAUUUCUGUGGUUGGUCUCUAGACAGAAGAAGACUUCAAUCGGAACAUUUCCUACCAUGCGCUUUGCAAAUGAAACUUGGAAGUCCUCAUGGCAUGGGGGCCACAUGUGUCUGGUACUCAUUGUCUUUUGCACCCCUCAUUAGACACUGCUACUUGUGUGUAAUACAUGAGCUAAGGAUAAUAAUAAUAAUAAUAAUAAUAAGCACAUCCUUAGCUAAGCAGGUUCCAUGCUUCUCUAUCUAGUUAGAUAGAAGUCCUCCUGUCGCUUUGCCUGACUCUCACGAUGGGUGAGAGGUCACCCUGCAGACCCCAAGAGAGACCCCUGCCUUUAGGCAACUUCCCUCUUUCUUACAGCUUUCAAACGGACAGGACCCCAAAUCUAAUUAUUUAGAUGCUAAUCAAUUGCAGAAUAAUUCCUAAGGCAUUUGAAUCUGAAGAUGUUUUCUGAGCCGCAUGCAUCAUUUAAAAUUGAGGUUUUGCAGCCUCAAGAGUACACUUGCUAAGAUUUAACCAUUAAUGGACUCCAGGGAUACCUGUGUUGGCAAAAGGCAUUCAAUAGACUUUGUUUGUUUGUUUGACUUUAGAGAUAAAUUACAUCUUUAAAAGAAUGUGUCCUCAGUAGAGUUUUGGAGGGAAGAGUAAAAGGAUCAACAAUGAACAACUGUGUGCAUCAUACACUGAAGCUUUUUAGAAAGAAUUAACUAAAUGUGUGUUGUUAAAUUCUAAAUCAGAAGAACGUCUGAUUACUUGAGAGCAAGAAGAAUAAAGUCCGGAGCAUGAAUUCCUCCCGAGGCUAAAAGAAGCGCCUAUGCACACCCCCUAAUUUGCUUUGUCAUUUUAGAUCUCUGAUAAGUUCUGAGCAUUUCUGAGGGAGGGACAGCAGCAAAGUCACAAUGUCUGUGCCAAGACAAAUAUUUUCCAGACACAUCGUUUUAAAUGUAAAUCUUAAUUUGGCCCAUAGGUUUUUUUUUUGUUUUUGUUUUUUUUUAUCUUUUAUAUUUAAUCUUACAAUAGGGAAAUUAAUUCAAGAGAAAUGCGGCAUGAAGCAGUUGUAAAGAGUUGCUCUCUCCUGAACCAUGUAAUCUCCCAAUCAAGAUGUAAACAACCUAUUCAGAAUCCUGAAACUUGAGAACAAGCUGCAAGCGAUCUUCAGAAAAAAAAAAGUCUCUAAUAAAAUGGGUGAUGGGAGAGCAGGAGGAAGGAUGAAGUGUGGGCCCAGAACUGAAAGGUUUUUGGAUUUGUUUUUAAAGGUCACCUGGGAAACAGGUCAGAGGUAGUGCCUGGGCGACACUGCAGGGGCCAUUCAGAAAUGUGGUUAGUAGAGUGUCUUAAUUCCGAUGCCUUGAUUAGAGGCGUGUUAUAACUGGAUGUAGAAAUCAAGAGUCGCAGGAGAGUAAGAGGGAUUGUUGCUUGCUGAGGUUGAUGACCUGAAUCCCAUCGCCAGGAUGGGCAUGGUGGAAGGAGCGGACCAACUCCUGCAAGUUGUCCUCUGACCUCCAUAGUCAUGCUGUGACACACUCCCGUCACCCUAUACCACACACACGCGUGUUCUUGCAUGCACAUUGUGCACAGACAGAAAUGCAGAUGCACAUACUGCUGAGCAGUCAAAGCGACCUCCUCUUUUCCCCUAGGAUAGACCCUUGAUGUAAGGAAGCCUCUCUUCCUCCUAGUUAAUCUCCAUCACUUACCUGUCAUUUCCUAGAAAUAUGGUCAGCAUCUGGGAGGCAGAAGAGAGCAGUUUUGAAAUUGUUUUCUUCAAAACUAUUUUUGGAAACAAAGCAAUUGUGUUUCCCCCUAUAC